rnacentral:ncRNA from 20 species
UAUCCCCGGCCUGUCCUCGGCGCGUCCAUGAAGUCAUGGACGCUCAAGGGAACCCGGUGUGAUUCCGGGACUGCCCCGCAGCGGUGAACAGGAACGACCGCCGUCCACGCAAGCACUGGCCCCUCCCGGGGCUGGGAAGCGACAGCCAGUAGAAGGAGGAUUCCCCCGAACCCUCCGCGCCUGUGAGUCCGAAGACCUGCCGAGGUCCCGUGCCCCGCA